rnacentral:ncRNA from 1 species
AUCUGUGAAGAGGCGGAUAUAAACAAAUGAGACUAGAAGACCCUUUGGAGCUUUAAUUCAUUAAUGCAAAUAAAAACCCAAACAAGCCUAGAGGCCCUAGCCUACUAUCCCUGCAUUAAAAAUUUUGGUUGGGGUGACCUCGGAGCAUAGUUCAACCUCCAAACAACCUAAACUAAGACUGCACUAGUCUAAGUGAGUUAAUACACAUUGACCAAAUAAUUCGAUCAACAGAAUAAAUUACCCUACGGAUAACAGUAUUGACAAUAGAGUUUAUGACCUCGAUGUUGGAUGAGGACAUCCUAAUGGUGUAGCCUCUUUUAAGGGUUCGUUUGUUUUACGGUUAAAGUUCUAUGUGAUCUGAGUUCAGAUCUAAGUAAUCUAGGUCAGUUUCUAUCUAU